UAGGACGGCCAUAGGGGCCGGGUUCCACCCAGUCUCAUUCGAACCUGGCAGUUAAACCGGCUUCCGUAUCGGGCUGUACUGCACUACGCGGGAAAUCCGAUAAGCUGUCCGCC
rnacentral:rRNA from 1 species